rnacentral:rRNA from 1 species
UGGGGAAUCUUGGACAAUGGGGGAAACCCUGAUCCAGCGAUGCCGCGUGAGUGAUGAAGGCCUUCGGGUUGUAAAACUCUUUUACCCGGGAAGAUAAUGACUGUACCGGGAGAAUAAGCUCCGGCUAACUUCGUGCCAGCAGCCGCGGUAAUACGAAGGGGGCUAGCGUUGUUCGGAAUUACUGGGCGUAAAGCGCGCGCAGGCGGCCAUUCAAGUCAGGGGUGAAAGCCCAGAGCUCAACUCUGGAACUGCCCUUGAAACUGUAUGGCUUGAGUAUGAGAGAGGUGAGUGGAAUUCCCAGUGUAGAGGUGAAAUUCGUAGAUAUUGGGAAGAACACCGGUGGCGAAGGCGGCUCACUGGCUCAUUACUGACGCUCAGGCGCGACAGCGUGGGGAUCAAACAG